AAGACAGUGGGCUGGGCGUCACACAUGAUUGGCUCCAGACUGAUUGUUCUAAUGACGCUCAUGUGUGAUCACUGUGACAUUUAGGUGUCUAUUUUACAUGCUCUGGGAAUAUCUGCAUUUGUCAUCAAACUUCAGUGUAUGAAGCAGACCCAUGGGGUUACAGUCUUGCAAGCCUUGCAACUCCUGCCUGCCGGACUGCAGAGCGGCUGGUGGCUGCUCGUGUGUGUGCGGCGACUGGAGAUAUUGCUCCGAACGCUGCUGCUGUGACAUCUGCUGCCAGAUGUGUGUGGACGUGUGCUCUGGCGUGUGUUCAGGAGACUGCAGCUACACCUUCUGUACCCUCUGCCUCAGCAUGGCACAGAGCUGUACCUCGUUUUUUACCACCCAACAAACUGAAACAUCAGAGGCACAACAGCCUAUGAUGGAUCUAGUACAGCGUGCCUAGUGAACAUGUGAGAGACUAUAAGACCAAACCCAUAAUAUACAUCGAAAAACACCAGAACAAUGGCCCUCACAAUAAGCCCAAGCUUAUCACCACAAUCAUGGCUGAACAAAACAACUGUGAUCAAAACAAGGCUUUCUGGGUCCCACCCCUGCGAUGGCAGAGACUGCACCCUACUUAACACUCAUGUCGCCACCCUUCAAGCCCCAUGCUGCACCUCAUUUCAUGUUAAUGGAUUUACUUCUUGUGUAUCUGGGUGGACAACCACUUUUACCUGUGUUUUCCAGUACAGCACUCUUAAAGAGACAAACAGGAUUCUCCGACCCUCAACGAAGCGAAAGUGAUGCACCGUUUACAUCUGGAGGAUUAAACUGGCCUCAUCCUGGCAUACGAGCAAUCCUUCAAAGCACUCGUUGGAUGCCUGCAAGAUUGUUUUGCACUUUGAGGCAAACAAAUAUAAUUUGGUUGCACGCAUUGUACCAUCUGAUAUCUCUUUUGUGAGAUAAAGGCGCCUUGGGACAUAAGGUGCUAUUUGCUUCCACUGAAUUAAACCUUUUUAUUAUCCUCCCAUGAAAUAGCAAGGUUAUGGAAAUUGUAAUGAUCGAGUGUGCCACGUCCCCGCAUCGAAAGACGCUUAGAACAAGGAAAAUGAGGAAAAUCUAACACUGUGGACCGUACCCGUCUCUGCUUGUGUUUUCUCCUCCUCCCCAGUCCCACUGGACUCUGCAGUGCAUUCAGUUCAACUCAAAUUUGUAUCCCUCUCAAACUCCGAGGAUAAGCUGUAUGGCCUAGUUUACUCCUUGAACUGACCUUAUCCUGCUGAAAGUUUGUGUGUCUAUAUUUAUACCCACAGUAAGUCCUGUGAGUCCAAAACAAUUUGUAUAUACUUCACUCACCUUGAUUGAGCAGCUGAGUGUGGUUUCUUUUGUAUGGAUUUUUCAGUUUUUUAUUUUCUUGACAUCUCCAGAGAGUGGAGGAUUGAAAUGGUGAAGUAUGUUUAAUAUCAGAAGUCCAGUAGGAGCUCUGAUACGAGUUGAAAAACUGUGCACAAAUGUUGCGUUGAGAUCAGUGACAUUGGGUACUGCAGAGAGCUGUAUUAUGUUGCCUCAGCUAAGUCUUUUUGAAUGUGUAUGUACUGUAUUUGUCCUAUUUUGUCUGCUUCUUGUGCAGUGUGGACUUUUACAAAUCAAUGAUACUAUAUCUUUAAAUAAAUUGUCUCACAGGG